CCUACGGGUGGCAGCAGUGAGGAAUAUUGGUCAAUGGACGAGAGUCUGAACCAGCCAAGUAGCGUGAAGGAUGACUGCCCUAUGGGUUGUAAACUUCUUUUAUAAAGGAAUAAAACGAGGCACGUGUGCCUUUUUGCAUGUACCUUAUGAAUAAGGAUCGGCUAACUCCGUGCCAGCAGCCGCGGUAAUACGGAGGAUCCGAGCGUUAUCCGGAUUUAUUGGGUUUAAAGGGAGCGUAGAUGGGUUGUUAAGUCAGUUGUGAAAGUUUGCGGCUCAACCGUAAAAUUGCAAUUGAUACUGGCAGUCGUGAGUACAGUUGAGGUAGGCGGAAUUCGUGGUGUAGCGGUGAAAUGCUUAGAUAUCACGAAGAACCCCGAUUGCGAAGGCAGCUUACUAAACUGUGACUGACAUUGAUGCUCGAAAGUGUGGGUAUCAAACAGGAGUAGAUACCCUAGUAGUC
rnacentral:rRNA from 1 species